CUUACAACAAAGAGUCCCUCCCGACUGUUUACCAAAAACACAGCACUCUGCUAACUCGUAAGAGGAUGUAUAGGGUGUGACGCCUGCCCGGUGCUCGAAGGUUAAUUGAUGGGGUUAGCAUUAGCGAAGCUCUUGAUCGAAGCCCGAGUAAACGGCGGCCGUAACUAUAACGGUCCUAAGGUAGCGAAAUUCCUUGUCGGUUAAAUACCGACCUGCAUGAAUGGCGUAACGAGAUGGGAGCUGUCUCAAAGAGGGAUCCAGUGAAAUUGUAGUGGAGGUGAAAAUUCCUCCUACCCGCGGCAAGACGGAAAGACCCCGUGGACCUUUACUACAGCUUGACACUGCUAUUUGGAUAAGAAUGUGCAGGAUAGGUGGGAGGCUUUGAGUAUAUGACGCCAGUUGUAUAUGAGCCAUUGUUGAGAUACCACUCUUUCUUAUUUGGGUAGCUAACCAGCUUGAGUUAUCCUCAAGUGGGACAAUGUCUGGUGGGUAGUUUGACUGGGGCGGUCGCCUCCCAAAUAAUAACGGAGGCUUACAAAGGUUGGCUCAGAACGGUUGGAAAUCGUUCGUAGAGUAUAAAGGUAUAAGCCAGCUUAACUGCAAGACAUACAAGUCAAGCAGAGACGAAAGUCGGUCUUAGUGAUCCGGUGGUUCUGUGUGGAAGGGCCAUCGCUCAAAGGAUAAAAGGUACCCCGGGGAUAACAGGCUGAUCUCCCCCAAGAGCUCACAUCGACGGGGAGGUUUGGCACCUCGAUGUCGGCUCAUCGCAUCCUGGGGCUGGAGCAGGUCCCAAGGGUAUGGCUGUUCGCCAUUUAAAGCGGUACGCGAGCUGGGUUCAGAACGUCGUGAGACAGUUCGGUCCCUAUCUGCCGUGGGCGUAAGAAGAUUGAAGAGAUUUGACCCUAGUACGAGAGGACCGGGUUGAACAAACCACUGGUGUAGCUGUUGUUCUGCCAAGAGCAUCGCAGCGUAGCUAAGUUUGGAAAGGAUAAACGCUGAAAGCAUCUAAGCGUGAAGCCAACUCUAAGAUGAAUCUUCUCUAAGCUCUCUAGAAGACUACUAGUUUGAUAGGCUGGGUGUGUAAUGGAUGAAAGUCCUUUAGCUGACCAGUACUAAUAGAGCGUUUGGCUUAUCUUUAAUAAAGCAU
rnacentral:rRNA from 1 species